rnacentral:misc_RNA from 1 species
AGCAGCCGCGGUAAUUCCAGCUCCAAUAGCGUAUAUUAAAGCUGUUGCAGUUAAAAAGCUCGUAGUUGAACUUCAGGCCUGUCCAGAUGGUCCGCCUUAAUUGGUGUGUACUGUCCUUGGGUGGGUCCUACCUUCUGGCGAAGCGGCAUGGCCUUAGUUGGUUGUGUCGGGGAACCAGGACUUUUACUGUGAAAAAUUAGAGUGUUCAAAGCAGGCAUAUAUGCUCGAAUACAUUAGCAUGGAGUAAUGGAAUAGGACGAUGGUUCUAUUUUGUUGGUUCUAGGACCGUUGUAAUGAUUAAUAGGGAUAGUUGGGGGCAUUAGUAUUCAAUUGUCAGAGGUGAAAUUCUUGGAUUUAUUGAAGACUAACUACUGCGAAAGCACUUGCCAAGGAUGCUUUCAUUAAUCAAGAACGAAAGUUAGGGGAUCGAAGACGAUCAGAUACCGUCGUAGUCUUAACCAUAAACUAUGCCGACUAGGGAUCGGAUGAUG